AGCGGCCAAGUGCGAGUCGGACUCGCCCAUGAAGGGUUCCGUAUUUAGGCGAUUUAUGACGUAUUAAAAAAAACUACUUACUAGAUCUCGUUCAAACCAAUUUUUGGUGGAAGUUUGCAUGGUAAUGUACAUCAUAUAUUUUUUUUAGUUUUAUCAUUCUCUUAUUUUAGAAGUUACGGGGGGGGGGGGGAGGACACAUUUUACCACUUUGGAAGCGUCUCUCGCGCAAACUAUUCAGUUUAGAAAAAAAUGAUAUUAGAAACCUCAAUAUCAUUUUUGAAGACCUAUCCAUAGAUACCCCACACGUAUGGGUUUGAUGAAAAUUUUUUUUUCGAGUUUCAGUUGGGAUUUAUAUAAAAAAAAACUACUUACUAGAUCUCGUUCAAACCAAUUUUCGGUGGAAGUUUGCAUGGUAAUGUACAUCAUAUAUUUUUUUUAGUUUUAUCAUUCUCUUAUUUUACAAGUUACAGGGGGGGGGACACAUUUUACCACUUUGGAAGUGUCUCUCGCGCAUACUAUUCAGUUUAGAAAAAAAUGACAUUAGAAACCUCAAUAUCAUUUUUGAAGACCUAUCCAUAAAUAUCCCAUACGUAUGGGUUUGAUGAAAAAAAAAAUUUGAGUUUCAGUUCUAAGUAUGGGGAGCCCCCAAAAUUUAUUGUUUUUUUGUCUAUUUUUGUGUGAAAAUCAUAAUGCGGUUCACAUAAUACAUCUACUUACCAAGUUUCAACAGUAUAGUUCUUAUAGUUUCGGAAAAAAAUGGCUGUGACAUACACGGACAGACAGACAGACAUGACGAAUCCAUAAUGGUUCCGUUUUUUGCCAUUUGGCUACGGAACCCUAAAAA